AGGAAACUGAAGCUAAAAUGAAUGACUCCAGUACAUCCAGCUACAGUUCAUCAACUACAAGCAUCAACUAUGAAACAGGAAGCCUCAGCAGUUCCUCCUCUACGUCCAAUCAGCUGGACAUGAAAG